rnacentral:lncRNA from 1 species
GGGCAACGGUCUGACUGGGGCGUGGCGAGGAGAGGGUGGGCGUGGGGGUUGGUGCGGGUUGGCGAAGGGUGGAGGCAUGUCAGGCCCCGGCCACGCCCCUGCCGGUUUGGGCGGGAGCCGCCCCGGGACCAACUGCCCUCGUUGCUCACACCAAGGAGGCCUUGGCUAGCUCAGCCGGACCCCAAAGCCUGGACCGGGUCUCCACCUCCCCCCCACCCCCGUGCCCACGCCCUCCAUGCCGGCCUCGCCCGGGAGCAGAUCACUGCUGCCUCGCCCCCGCGGCCCACUCGCCCAGCGGGGCGCCUUAUCCGAGAGCCCUCCGGGCCUCAGCUUUAUCACCCGGCACCACCCGGCGUGGUUCUAACCCCGCGCCUUUGCGCUGCGCUGCACACCAGCUUUUUUUUUCUAAGACAGGAUCUCCCUGAGUUGCUCAGCUGCCCAGCCUGGGCUCGAACCUGCAGUCCAGCGCGGAGGCCUGGCCAACCCCUGACUUCCCGUGGCUGGGCCCAGGGUGUCAGCAGAGUCAGCUUCCAGGGAAUCCGACCUCUGGUCUCCCGCCCGAGUCCAGGGCCUUCCUGAGACUCCAGUCUUCGUGCCGAUGUCCCCAGGGCUGUGGUCCCACUGUGGCUGACUCCUUCUCUCCCGGGUCUCAGCCCAAAGCCCACUCCUCAGAAAAAUCCUUCAGUGUUUAGUCUGCUGUACACUUGAGCUCCAGCCCUCUCGAUGGCAAGUCACCCACUCUGUCUGCAGGUUCCUGGAGGGAGACGCUGGUCUCUCCUCUCUCACAACCAGGCGGGUACUCGGUGAAUGCUUGAAGUCAUCAGUUAGCGAAUUCAUGCAUUAGGCAUCAGGUAGCAACUCCUGAAUUAAUACACAUUUAUUGAUUCCUUGCACUAGGGAUUGCUGUGGUCCUAGUGAUGUUGGCAGUCCUUGGAAAGGGGGAGUCACUUUGCUGAGGCCUUGGCCGGCCUGGGCCUGACGCCACCCCCUCCUUUGGCCCCAGCUUGCCCUGGCCAUCUUACCCGGGCCACUUGUCCUCAAGGUCCAGAUGUGCGUGGUGUUGACCUCAGAGAGCCCAAGGCCGGGCCCAGGGCCACAGUGCCAAUGCCACAUUGUCUCUGCACAAAACCCACUUGGCUCCCGGCUGGGGGUAGACGCGGAACACAGCCCAUCCACGCGGCCCCAUGGUGCACAGCGGCUGUGUCUCGGGCCAGCGAGGGAGGCGGACGUGGGCCUGGUGGACAUCGCUGGUGUCACAGUCUCCCAUUUCCUAGGAAACCUCUGACCUGCUCCUGCUCUGCCCCGGGGCCUUUGUACCCCCCCCCCCCCACCCCGCGCCCCAUCCCCCCCACCCUUGUCCCCAGCAGGCGUGGGGCCGGACUUUCCGCCCCUGCCCUGUCGCUGUCUGCCUUUCUCAGGGCCGGGAUGCCGGGCACCGAGCCCAGGGCCUUGUGCGCCCCAGGCAGUCACCCUGCGUGGAGCCCCCAGAGCCGCCCCCGGUCCUUUCUGUUUUAUUUUGAGACAGCGGCUUGCUACACUAUGGCCGCUGGGCCCCAGGCAGAGCAGGGUGGGGAAGGACGAGGAAGAGGAGGAAGGCGCGCGGCCGACCGCCAGCCGAGGGCGCCAGAGGGUGGGAGGGGGCGCGCACCUGCUGCUGCUGCUGCUGCUGCUGCUGUGCGGGCGGCGAGCGGGAGCCGCGCUGCCCAGGGCGCCCACGUCCACGGCCGAGCAAGGACAGUGAGGGAGAAGCACGCUCGCCACCCGAGUCCCGCGAGAGCCGCGUGCGGCAGGGCCCGGGCGCACCAGACGCCCGGGGCUCCUACACCGCAAAGACCUGGAUGGAAGGAAGACCGGCAAACACUCUCCGUCUCCUACACCCACCCAUGUUGGGAUGGCAGCAUUUGGUCCUGUGCGGUUUUUAAAAGACUUACAAUUCAUUUCAC